rnacentral:rRNA from 1 species
UGGGGAAUAUUUCACAAUUGGCGCAAGCCUGAUGCAGCCAUGCCGCGUGUAUGAAGAAGGCCUUCGGGUUGUAAAGUACUUUCAGUCGGGAGGAAGGUGGUAAGGUUAAUAACCUUGGCAAUUGACGUUACCGACAGAAGAAGCACCGGCUAACUCCGUGCCAGCAGCCGCGGUAAUACGGAGGGUGCAAGCGUUAAUCGGAAUUACUGGGCGUAAAGCGUACGCAGGCGGUUGAUUGAGUCAGAUGUGAAAUCCCCGGGCUUAACCCGGGAAUUGCAUCUGAUACUGGUCAGCUAGAGUCCUGUAGAGGGGGGUAGAAUUCCAUGUGUAGCGGUGAAAUGCGUAGAGAUGUGGAGGAAUACCGGUGGCGAAGGCGGCCCCCUGGACAAAGACUGACGCUCAGGUGCGAAAGCGUGGGGAGCAAACAGG